GAAAUGCGAUAAGUAGUGUGAAUUGCAGAAUUCAGUGAAUCAUCGAAUCUUUGAACGCACAUUGCGCCCCUUGGUAUUCCAUGGGGCAUGCCUGUUCGAGCGUCAUUUGUACCCUCAAGCUCUGCUUGGUGUUGGGUGUUUGUCCCGCCUCCGCGUGUGGACUCGCCUCAAAGCAAUUGGCAGCCGGCGUAUUGGCCUGGGAGCGCAGCACAAUUUGCGCUCUCGACCUCCAUUACAGCGGCGUCCAUUAAGCCCAUUUAUCACUUUUGACCUCGGAUCAGGUAGGGAUACCCGCUGAACUUAA
rnacentral:misc_RNA from 1 species